AAAGUCUGACGGAGCAACGCCGCGUGAGUGAUGAAGGUUUUCGGAUCGUAAAGCUCUGUUGUUAGGGAAGAACAAGUGCAAGAGUAACUGCUUGCACCUUGACGGUACCUAACCAGAAAGCCACGGCUAACUACGUGCCAGCAGCCGCGGUAAUACGUAGGUGGCAAGCGUUGUCCGGAAUUAUUGGGCGUAAAGGGCUCGCAGGCGGUUUCUUAAGUCUGAUGUGAAAGCCCCCGGCUCAACCGGGGAGGGUCAUUGGAAACUGGGAAACUUGAGUGCAGAAGAGGAGAGUGGAAUUCCACGUGUAGCGGUGAAAUGCGUAGAGAUGUGGAGGAACACCAGUGGCGAAGGCGACUCUCUGGUCUGUAACUGACGCUGAGGAGCGAAAGCGUGGGGAGCGAACAGGAUUAGAUACCCUGGUAGUCCACGCCGUAAACGAUGAGUGCUAAGUGUUAGGGGGUUUCCGCCCCUUAGUGCUGCAGCUAACGCAUUAAGCACUCCGCCUGGGGAGUACGGUCGCAAGACUGAAACUCAAAGGAAUUGACGGGGGCCCGCACAAGCGGUGGAGCAUGUGGUUUAAUUCGAAGCAACGCGAAGAACCUUACCAGGUCUUGACAUCCUCUGACAACCCUAGAGAUAGGGCUUUCCCUUCGGGGACAGAGUGACAGGUGGUGCAUGGUUGUCGUCAGCUCGUGUCGUGAGAUGUUGGGUUAAGUCCCGCAACGAGCGCA
rnacentral:rRNA from 1 species